rnacentral:misc_RNA from 1 species
AUUUAAUUUUUAGUGUAUAAACAUGUGUGUGCCUUCAGAAAUGCAUUUAUACAUAUAUUUUAAAAAGUAAAGAGGGUUAGAAAGAAGAAAAGUUAUUUAACAACUUAAGUUAAUUUACAACUAUAUAUUGUUAUCAAAAUGUGGUCUAUACGGUGUUAUGUCAGCCUUAGUAAUGCAAAACAAAUUAAAGUCAUAACAAAUAUUUUUAAAAAACAAUUUCUGUCAAAAAAUAGAAAUAUAAAUAACUCGAUUAAUCCCAAUGCACAUUUUUCAACGAUUGAAUCUAAACCUGAGGAAAGAGGUUAUGUUGAAAAAGCAUUGAAUUUAGAAAAUGAAGUUAUACCUGUGCAAAGUUUACAAGAAACUCAAUCAAACAGUUCUGAUUGGAUUCAAAAGACAAUAACUAAUGUAGAUGAUUUAAGUAUUUAUGAUGAGUAUAUCAAAUUACCUAAAGCUUUGGACUUUUGUAAUGAAGACAUUUCUCAUAUUGGAAAUUAUCAACUUCCUAGUUAUAAUAUAGCAAAAUAUGCAAAUAGUUCUGAAACUAUUCAAAGAUUAAUAAAGCUUGGUGUAAAAUUAUAUGAACAUGAAACUGACGUAGAACUGAUGGAAUUUUUGUUGAGUAAAGAUUUUGAAAAAGAUCUGUUUCCAUAUAUAAGAUUCUUACAUGAUUGUGGUGUACCUGGUGAAUAUUUAGGUGAAUUCUUCACUAAAAAUCCAUAUCUAUUUAAAGUGGACAUGGAUGAUUUACAUACGAGAAUAAGAUAUUUGAGAUUUCAUCAGUUCAAUAUAAAUAUGAUCAAAACAAUCAUUUGCUUUAAUCCUAAAUGGUUAAAUUUUUCCACUAAGAUUAUAGAUACUAGGCUAGGAUAUUUUCAAACUACUUUUUGUCUCAAUGGAAAAGAAGUAAGACAAUUGACAACUAAAAAUUCAAAAUUAAUAACAUACAAAAUGAAUCACAUAAGAGAAAAUACAUUUGUUGUCAAAGAAUUAAUGGGUUUUAAUCGAUACGAAAUGAAAGCGAUACUAUUAAAUCAACCUAAAAUAUGGAUGAAAUGUAAAAAAAAUAUAAUCAGUACAUUUGAUUAUGCGCAUAAUGAGAUGAAAUUAUCUCAUGAAUUUAUUUCAUCUCAACCAUACGUUUUGUUAUGCAGAAAACGUAGAUUAGAGCAAAGGCAUAAGUUUUUGGAAAAGUUGGGUAGAGCGCAGUACGACCCAACUAAACCAAUGUAUGUUUCACUCAUAGCUCUGAUCGGUGGCACGAAUGACCAAUUUUGUCAAAAUGUAGCAAAAACAUCUACAGAGACUUUUGAUUCAUAUCUGAAAUCUAUUAUGUAAGAUAAAAGACCCGACUAUGAGACGGGUUAUGUAAAUGCCCUCAAUACUUCAGAGUAAAAAAUCGCUUUAUAAGCUUAAUUUUAAUACAUAAAAUAAUUUUAUUUAAACAAAAAUUAAUGUGACUUAAGGUACCUACUAUGAGACACUGUAAACGUAACCCAUACCUAGUAUCUCACUCAUUAUGUCCAUGCUUAUGAGACAUAAAAAAAGGAGUGAAUUUAAUUUAAAUUUUCAAUUUUAUUCGAAUAUAACAUUUAAAAUAUAUAUAAUACUUUACAAUUAAGUGCAGUAACUUUUAAAUUGUCUAAAACUUAGAUAUACGUAAAUAUUUAUACGAAAUUAAUAAAUAAAAAUACAUACUUAUCAAAUUGUCAUUAACAUUAAAU